GUAGGUGGCGAGCGUUAUCCGGAAUGAUUGGGCGUAAAGGGUGCGUAGGUGGCAGAUCAAGUCUGGAGUAAAAGGUAUGGGCUCAACCCGUACUGGCUCUGGAAACUGAUCAGCUAGAGAACAGAAGAGGACGGCGGAACUCCAUGUGUAGCGGUAAAAUGCGUAGAUAUUAGGAGGAAUACCGGUGGCGAAGGCGACUUGCUGGACUUCAACUGACGCUGAGGAACGAAAGCGUGGGUAGCAAACAGGAUUAGAUACCCUAGUAGUCCACGCCGUAAACGAUGAGAACUAGGUGUUGGGGGAAUAACUCAGUGCCGCAGUUAACGCAGUAAGUUCUCCGCCUGGGGAGU
rnacentral:rRNA from 1 species